rnacentral:rRNA from 1 species
AGAGUUUGAUCCUGGCUCAAGACGAACGCUGGCGGCGUGCUUAACACAUGCAAGUCGAACGAUGAAGUUCCUUCGGGGAUGGAUUAGUGGCGAACGGGUGAGGAACACGUGAAGAAUCUGCCCUCCACUUUGGGAUAACACCGGGAAACCGGUGCUAAUACCGAAUAUUGAAAUAUAAGUGGCAUCACUGAAUUUUGAAAGAAUUUCGGUGGAGGAUGACUUCGCGGCCUAUCAGCUUGUUGGUGAGGUAAAGGCUCACCAAGGCUACGACGGGUAUCCGGCCUGAGAGGGCGACCGGACACACUGGGACUGAGACACGGCCCAGACUCCUACGGGAGGCAGCAGUGGGGAAUAUUGGGCAAUGGACGAAAGUCUGACCCAGCGACGCCGCGUGAGGGAUGAAGGCCUUCGGGUUGUAAACCUCUUUCAGUAGGGAAGAAGCGAAAGUGACGGUACCUAAAGAAGAAGCACCGGCUAACUAUGUGCCAGCAGCCGCGGUAAUACAUAAGGUGCAAGCGUUGUCCGGAAUUAUUGGGCGUAAAGAGCUCGUAGGUGGUUUGUUGCGUCGGGUGUGAAAUUCAGGGGCUCAACCCCUGACCUGCACUCGAUACGGGCAAGCUAGAGUUUGGUAGGGGAGACUGGAAUUCCUGGUGUAGCGGCGGAAUGCGCAGAUAUCAGGAGGAACACCAAUGGCGAAGGCAGGUCUCUGGGCCAAUACUGACACUGAGGAGCGAAAGCGCGGGGAGCGAACAGGAUUAGAUACCCUGGUAGUCCGCGCCGUAAACGAUGGGCGCUAGUUGUGGGGACCUUCCACGGUUUCCGCGACGCAGCUAACGCAUUAAGCGCCCCGCCUGGGGAGUACGAUCGCAAGAUUAAAACUCAAAGGAAUUGACGGGGACCCGCACAAGCAGCGGAGCAUGUGGCUUAAUUCGAUGCAACGCGAAAAACCUUACCUAGAUUUGACAUGCUGGGAAAAGCUACAGAGAUGUAGUGUCCUUCGGGGCUCAGCACAGGUGGUGCAUGGCUGUCGUCAGCUCGUGUCGUGAGAUGUUGGGUUAAGUCCCGCAACGAGCGCAACCCUUGUUCUAUGUUGCCAGCACGUAAUUGGGGACUCGUAGAAGACUGCCGGGGUCAACUCGGAGGAAGAUGGGGACGACGUCAAGUCAUCAUGCCCCUUACGUCUAGGGCUGCACACAUGCUACAAUGGGCGGUACAGAGGGCUGCUAAACCGCGAGGUGGAGCCAAUCCCUAAAACCGCUCUCAGUUCAGAUUGAAGGCUGCAACUCGCCUUCAUGAAGUUGGAGUUGCUAGUAAUCCCGGAUCAGCAUUGCCGGGGUGAAUACGUUCCCGGGCCUUGUACACACCGCCCGUCAAACCACGAAAGUUGGUAACACCCGAUACCGGUGGCCUAACCGCAAGGAGGGAGCCGUUUAAGGUGGGAUCAGUGAUUGGGGUUAAGUCGUAACAAGGUA